GUGUCUGUGCUCUACACACAACAAGUUAUCGUACAAAUACAUUAAAUUCUUCAGAUAUUUUGACAAAACACCUGCAAAAAUGUUUUCAAAGUUACUGCUUUCGACUAUGAUUAUUGUGAUCAAUUUGAGCCUGCUUGCGAAUGCAUACUUAAUUGGACUGAGACGUAAUGGUGAGAUCGAGCAAGAAGAUUUGGAAGAAAAUUUUUUAAGCAAGCCAAGAAGCAGACAAAUUUAUUAAUUUAUAGAUGGCUAUUCGUUAUAAUAUUUCAUCAAACAUGUUACAAUAAUGAUAAAUAAAAGCUAUUGAUAGAUAUUUAUAGAUGGCUAUUCGUUAUAACAUUUCAUCAAACAUAUUACAAUAAUGAUAAAUAAAAGCUAUUGAUAUCAAG